rnacentral:ncRNA from 3 species
UACGUAGGGCGCAAGCGUUAUCCGGAAUUAUUGGGCGUAAAGAGCUCGUAGGCGGUUUGUCGCGUCUGCCGUGAAAGUCCGGGGCUUAACUCCGGAUCUGCGGUGGGUACGGGCAGACUUGAGUGAUGUAGGGGAGACUGGAAUUCCUGGUGUAGCGGUGAAAUGCGCAGAUAUCAGGAGGAACACCGAUGGCGAAGGCAGGUCUCUGGGCAUUAACUGACGCUGAGGAGCGAAAGCAUGGGGAGCGAACAGG